CUGUGAGACAGGUGCUGCAUGGCUGUCGUCAGCUCGUGUUGUGAAAUGUUGGGUUAAGUCCCGCAACGAGCGCAACCCUUAUCCUUUGUUGCCAGCGGUUCGGCCGGGAACUCAAAGGAGACUGCCAGUGAUAAACUGGAGGAAGGUGGGGAUGACGUCAAGUCAUCAUGGCCCUUACGACCAGGGCUACACACGUGCUACAAUGGCAUAUACAAAGAGAAGCGACCUCGCGAGAGCAAGCGGACCUCAUAAAGUAUGUCGUAGUCCGG
rnacentral:rRNA from 2 species